AAGAUUUUUUCUCACAAAUUGAAAGGUCAUGGCCCUAUAUGUGUACGUAGUCAAAAACCCAUGCACAAAAGGAUAGAUGGCCUCCCAAAUUAAGUAAAUUAGAGAUGACAGGUAUGUACACUUCCACAGGUUACUCUCACAGGAUUUUGGGGUUAUAAAUAAGUAAAUUAGGGUUUCAAAUCAAUUUCACAUAGUAUUUUUAAGGAAACUCUAAGGUGCUGUGCCUUCUCCUUUCAAAGUCACUUACCAGAUAUCAUUCUUAUACCAUUAGAACCAGUAGAUUUAAAGUUGUUGCAACAAGAUCAACAAUUGCUAAUGAUCUAAAAUCUUUGAGUGAGAUUUCAAAGUCACAAACGUGGGUAUUUGUGAGCAACAGAUUCAAGAUAAAAGUGUCUGUGGAUUUGGAACUGCAUGUGAUCGUGCGAGAUUCAUCCCUAAAUUUUUUAUAAUUGGAAUACAUUAUAUAGCAUAUAUAUUCAAGAAAAUAAGAUUUAUUUGUUAGAAAAUUAGAUAUUGAUCGAGAUGGUUCGAAAAAUAAUUCACUAAUUUUUCUAUUACCAAUCGAUAGUUGAUUGCUGAAUUUUAUAACUUACUGAGAAUGAGAUUAAAAAAUAUAUAUCCAUAAUUUGGAGGAAAAGUGAAAGGCUGGUUUGUGCUAGGUUUUAUAGGAUGGCCCAAAAAGGUAAUUGGGUCCAAGCCCAAGCCCAAGCCCAAGCCCGCUCCAACGAUGCAGCUAGUUCAUGAGUUGACUCAGUUGAGUUGAGUUGAGUUGAGUCACGUUAUCUGGUCCGAGUCGUAUACCAAAACCCCUCUAACCCAAAACCAAAGCCCCAAAGCAAAACCAUUUCUUCAACUAUUAUAGGGAUAUGUCUGUUUCCUUCUCUUCCCUUCAGCUCUUCCGUCAAAAACCUCUCUUUUCUAGCCUUUAUUGGAACCAAAGGGCAACUGGGUUGUGGAGAAGCACAAAUUUUGUGAGGAGUAUUGCUGCUAAGGCAGGCCCAAAGAGGGUAUCUUUUGGUAAAGAAUGCAGGGAGGCCUUAGGACCUAGAGGUAUCUUUUGGUAAAGAAUGAUGGGAUUGAUAAGCUGGCUGAUGCUGUCUCUCUCACCUUAGGACCUAGAGGUAUCUGGGUAUUCUUCAUUUCUGUUUGUUUUGAUAGCUUUUUUAGGUUUCUACCAUUAUAUACCGUCUCUUACUCUCUUUAAGCUUUAGUUUUUGAGAACAAGAGGGAUUAUUCCAUUUUCUAUCUAUGCUUAUAUUGGUGAAGGGAUCAAUGAUAAGCCUACAGGUUAAAAAAUAUCUUGUCGGUGAUUCUUGCUCUAUCAUUUGCAAUGGAUACAUUAGUUUCAAUUGGAUGAUUGUUAUUUGGUAAUAGUUUGCCAAGUUUAAUUUGUUUUGUUUAUGUAGUGGUAAUAGUAAUGAGAAAUGUGCUGGAGGCUACACAUUAAAUUGAU